rnacentral:lncRNA from 1 species
CUAAUUGUAUUACCCUCUCAUUCUCAUCUUCUCACCUGAGUCCUCACGCGGCUCCCCACUAUUUUUUCUGCUUUUUGCUUUUCUCCCACUAACACCACCCUCGAUUCUCCGUCAACCACCACCCGCUCCGCCUCUUCCUCUCCGUCAAGCACCAGCGCCGCCCUCUUCCUCUCCGUCAAGCACCAGCGCUGCCUCCGUCAUUCUCUCCGCCUUGCACCGGCAACGCCGCCCUCUUUCUCUCCACCGAAAACCAGCCCCGCCGCCCUCGUUCUAUCCGCCGAGCACCAGCCCGCCACCCUUUAUUCUGUUUUCAUUUUUUUUCUUUUUUAAAUCCUGAUAUUCCGAAAAUAUUC